UGUGUGUGUAGAGGAUAGUGCAGCCCCUAACCAGAGUCCUGAUGGGUGCUGUGUCCAGAUCCAAGGUCUGGGGCUCCAGAGAGAGCAGGAGUGGUGCCUGAGGACUGAGGCCCAGGGGGCGGCCCUUCCCUACCCUGCACAGGCCCGGCUGGGCUGGAAAGCUGUCCCACAGCCGCAGUGAGGACAGCCGCAGGCCAGUGGGCUGCUCUGGGGGUCGUGUGGGACCUGGGGUGGGGCUGCAUGGGCUCACUGUGCCCUGACCCCAGGCCCCACCCACAGGCAAGGAGCCCGGCCUGUUUGAUGUGGUCAUCAUUAACGACAGCCUGGACCAGGCCUACGCAGAGCUGAAGGAGGCGCUCUCUGAGGAAAUCAAGAAAGCUCAAAGGACCGGCGCCUGAGGCUUGCUGUCUGUUCUUGGCACCCCGGGCCCAUACAGGACCAGGGCAGCAGCACUGAGCCACCCCCUUGGCAGGCGAUACGGCAGCUCUGCGCCCUUGGCCAGCAUGUGGAGUGGAGGGGAUGCUGCCCCUGUGGUUGGAACAUCCUGGGGUGACCCCCGACCUAGCCUCGCUGGGCUGUCCCCUGUCCCUAUCUCUCACUCUGGACCCAGGGCUGACAUCCUAAUAAAAUAACUGUUGGAUUAGAAACUCCAUAAA
rnacentral:sRNA from 1 species